UACGGAGGAUGCAAGCGUUAUCCGGAAUGAUUGGGCGUAAAGCGUCCGCAGGUGGCUGUGUAAGUCUGCUGUUAAAUAGUGAGGCUCAACCUCAUAAAGGCAGUGGAAACUACACGGCUAGAGUGCGUUCGGGGCAGAGGGAAUUCCUGGUGUAGCGGUGAAAUGCGUAGAGAUCAGGAAGAACACCGGUGGCGAAAGCGCUCUGCUAGGCCGCAACUGACACUGAGGGACGAAAGCUAGGGGAGCGAGUGGG
rnacentral:rRNA from 1 species